rnacentral:rRNA from 1 species
UACGGAGGGGGCUAGCGUUGUUCGGAAUUACUGGGCGUAAAGCGCACGUAGGCGGCUUCGCAAGUCAGAGGUGAAAGCCUGGAGCUCAACCCCGGAACUGCCUUUGAGACUGCAUCGCUCGAAUCCGGGAGAGGCGGGUGGAAUUCCGAGUGUAGAGGUGAAAUUCGUAGAUAUUCGGAAGAACACCAGUGGCGAAGGCGGCCCGCUGGAUCGGCAUUGACGCUGAGGUGCGAAAGCGUGGGGAGCAAACAGG